rnacentral:rRNA from 1 species
UACGAAGGGUGCAAGCGUUAAUCGGAAUUACUGGGCGUAAAGGGUGCGUAGGCGGUUGUUUAAGUCUGCCGUGAAAUCCCCGGGCUCAACCUGGGAAUGGCGGUGGAUACUGGGCAGCUAGAGUGUGUCAGAGGAUGGUGGAAUUCCCGGUGUAGCGGUGAAAUGCGUAGAGAUCGGGAGGAACAUCAGUGGCGAAGGCAGCUAGCUGGGCCAUUUCUGACGCUAAGGCACGAAAGCGUGGGGAGCGAACAGG